AUCUACACUACUAUAACAGGUCAGUUAUCUGGUGAUAGUAUAGUGUUGACAUCUACACUACUAUAACAGGUCAGUUAUCUGGUGAUAGUAUAGUGUUCUGAUAUCUACACUACUAUAACAGGUCAGUUAUCUGGUGAUAGUAUAGUGUUGCCAUCUACACUACUAUAACAGGUCAGUUAUCUGGUGAUAAUAUAGUGUUCUGAUAUCUACACUACUAUAACAGGUCAGUUAUCUGGUGAUAGUAUAGUGUUGACAUCUACACUACUAUAACAGGUCAGUUAUCUGGUGAUAGUAUAGUUCUGACAUCUACACUACUAUAACAGGUCAGUUAUCUGGUGAUAGUAUAGUGUUCUACACAUCUACACUACUGUAACAGGUCAGUUAUCUGGUGAUAGUAUAGUGUUGACAUCUACACUACUAUAACAGGUCAGUUAUCUGGUGAUAGUAUUGUGUUCUGACAUCUACACUAUAACAUGUCAGUUAUCUGGUGAUAGUGUAGUGUUCUGAUAUCUAAACUACUAUAACAGGUCAGUUAUCUGGUGAUAGUAUAGUGUUGACAUCUACA
ensembl:lncRNA